rnacentral:rRNA from 1 species
UGAGGAAUAUUGGUCAAUGGGCGCAAGCCUGAACCAGCCAUCCCGCGUGCAGGAAGACGGCCCUAUGGGUUGUAAACUGCUUUUCCAGGGGGAGAAACUUGCGCACGUGUUGCGCAAUUGACGGUACCCUGGGAAUAAGCAUCGGCUAACCCCGUGCCAGCAGCCGCGGUAAUACGGAGGAUGCGAGCGUUAUCCGGAUUCAUUGGGUUUAAAGGGUGCGUAGGCGGACUAUUAAGUCAGUGGUGAAAUCCUGCAGCUUAACUGCAG